CCCUCCCGGGAGUGCGCCCAAGCCGGACGCCGGAAGCCGGAAGCCGGGGACCGGAAGUCGGGGACUCUCGCCCCUUCCCCGGCUCUUAGGACGCGACUCUCGCGGUAGCCCCGAGUUAGCCCUUCCGCUGUCAGGCCCGUCGCAGGACUAGGGCGCACCCAGGGCAAGAGGGACUAAGGGGCGGCUGGCUACGGACAGGAAAUAAGAGCUCACCUCCAGAUGCCCCGGCUCUGAUGUAAGCUGGGCCAACGGGGUGGCCGGCAACGGACGCUAAGGUUCAGAAGACGCGCUUCCCGGCAUCCUUAGCGCUCCGGCAGGAGGGCUGGCCGAGCAAGCCAGAACGAUCACCGGGCCCUUGCUUGGGGGAGAGCAGUGGCUGCCCUUGGACCUUGCCCGCCUCUAGCUGUCUCUCUCUUUCCUUCCCUUUUAGGACAAAUGGCUUGGAAGAAAGACUUCCCUAAGUUUGGUUUUAGUCCUCUGCCAUUCAUCCUUACCACAUUGUAGGCAGCAAACCGCCAACAAGGCAUUCUCAUCCCUCCAACUCAAUUCACUAGAGAUCGCCCCUCUCCCCACAGCUUUCCACUUUCCGUCUUCUAGGGCCUCCUCUCAGCAGCCAGGUUCAUGCUGCUCCGUACUUCUGGGAAUCUGGUAUCGCUGACUUCCGGGAUCCUCUUCUCUCCUCUCUUUCUUCUUGCUUCUUCCCAGUUCCCAUUCACAGUCUAGCUCGUGAUGGUAACAAGGAAGACUCUCCUGGUUUGGGGAAUGUAGAGUCCCCUGAAUAAGAUUGGAAUCUCAGUCAUACCUGAGGAAGCAGAUUCAGGGGAGUAGAAAAUGGAAUUUGAGAACACUGGAGAGACAUACAUGACAACAAGUGCUUGGAUCUGUACUUCCACUGUGAAGGCUACAACAUGAAACAUGAUGAAAACCAGCCUUAGAGAGAAGCCUAGUAUACUCCUUUUUCUCCAUUUUCUCACCUUGCCCAAGGAGGUAGAGACGACCUGGAGACACUGUCCUAGAUGCUUGCAUUUUAUUUAUGAUUAUUUCUAUACCUUGGAAGUACUCAUGAAGCUCUGAGCUCUGCUGCAUUGGAUAUCAUCUUGUGAACUGUUCAAGGGCAGGAUGACCAACAACUGGUUUGAGUGUGAGAACAUCAUCCAGAAUAUGGAACAACUUGGUGACUGUGCAGAAGGUUCUGGAGAGAGAGUGGGCUGAGCAGGGAGAGUAAGUGAAAGAUUGAUGUGGGAGUAUGUGUGUGUGUGUGAGACAGAGAGGAAGGGAGGGAGGGAGAAAGUGAUUCUGAAUAGACUCCACCAAUCCUGUUG